CUGGCGCGUGCGCGGCGUCGGAGCAAGCGGCCCCUUCCUUCGGCCCCGCCCAGCCCCGCCGGCCGCCCGCUCCCUGGGGAACCGAGGGAGGAAUGGGCGGGGUCCUCAGGUGCCCGGCGACGUCAUCCAGCCCCCAAGGCUCCAGGACGCAAAGGGUCCCCUGAUCUGGCAGUCCCUGGACCUACCCUGGAGAGCGUGGGGGGACAAAGGCCGGACGCGCCGCCCGCUGCCGCCUCCAGGAAGCCCUCCCUUGCCAGGACAGUGGAGUUGGCCGGCUGAACAGGAAAAGGAACAGUCCUUCCAAAGUGCCUACGGAAAGCUUUGUCCCAUCCUUGAAAAAUUGCUAAUGGGUUUGGAGAUACGAGGUGGAGAUGACUAGCAAUCAAACUCAAAGGUGGAAGUCACAUCGAGGCAGAUGAGCAGAUGAGGGGACCUAGAGAAGAAGAGAGGUGCAAGGAGAGCCCAGCCAGCAGGAACAUCUGCCCCAGUAGGCAGCACUGCCCCACAUCAGAGUCGAGGAAAGCAAAGCUCGGAUUGGAUAAAAGAAACUUGCAAACACGGUCAGUGCUUACUGCAUGUGGGCUCAGAGCACGUUACCCUCCUUCCCUGCAUGUUCCUGUGAAACGGGUUUACUGCUCUAACUCUCAGGGACACUGUGAAGACCAAACGAGAAAAUAGAAACAAACAUAAUUUAUAAACCAUAAAGUACUGACACCAAAAGAGGGGCGAGCACAGCAUUGUGAAUGUGCUGGUACUAAAUGGUUUGUUUUAAGAUGAUUUUAUGGUGUGUGAAUUUCACUUGAAUAAAUUUUUUUAAUGGAGUUCA
rnacentral:lncRNA from 1 species